GGCCAGGUCACAGUUGUAAAUGAGAACUUGUUCUCAACUGGCCAACCUGGUUAAAUAAAGGUAAAAUAAAUUAAAAAAAGACUCUCCUAUAAAGUGCUUCAUACUUUAGCACAGAGCUGGCUUAUUUUUGUAAGAUAAUUUUUUUCAAACAGUACAAAAUAUACACAUACAAACGACCACAUGCAAACACACACAAACAUCAAUAACAUCACCCUGCCCAGAUGCCCAAAUGACCUGACCUAUUUUCAUUAACUAUUCAUGUUUCUAUUUAAAGAUGGAUUGGCGUUUUUCAUGGAAAACUCUCUCAUUUGGCCUCUCUUUUAUUGCUGACUCCCACACUGCUGUCCUGCUCUUUUCCCCACUGCCCUGGUCAUGUUGCUUUGGGAACAUUGCUUGAUCAGUACAAGAGUCAUUUUAGUAAGAGGCCUGAGGCAAAAAUAUGUCCCAGCUAGCAUAUUUGGUUCCUUGGAAGUUGGUGGAACAUAUGUUUAUGGUUUCACAUUGGUUGUGGGAAGGAAGCCAAAUGUUUCCUGACCAGUUAAACCAAAAGUUUUUCAAAUGUUCUGAGAACAGACUUGAACAUUUAGCCCAUUCUGGGAGCAUAUAUUUUUAGGUUGCAGGGAGGUUCUGAGUACAUUCUAUUCUGGUUCCUUGAAAGUUUUCGUGGGUGGUUUUAUUAAUGCUCUGAGAUCUGAAAUGGUAGGUUAUUUGGAGGUUUUUAAAUACCUUUCUUAAAACUUUCUUUAAAUGUCUCAAUAAUACUGUUCACUUUUUUGAACUCCAACACAGAUAAGACACAUAGGAAUUCAUUUCCUUAGGCAUUAUUGUUUAAUUUUAUUGUGACACAUCAUCAGUGAGAUUCAAACCUAUAAUAUUCUGGUCUCUAUGAAUGGAAUUAGUCCACUGUUCCACCAAGAUGGAGCUAGCAUGCCAGGUUGUUUUACGCAUUCAAAGCUGUUCAUUUUAGUCUAUUCAAACAGACCGCCUUUCAAAGGAAACAAGCACUCAUUAAGAUCAGGUGGCAAAAUAGUGGGCGCGGCAAACACAUAUGAACACACUUAGAGGAUAGAGAGAGUUUUGUUGAUGCUACGUAAUGUAUACGUUUUUAAAUUACAUUCUUAUAACGUUCCCUGAACGUUACUAAAGUGUUCUUGUGGGAAGGUUCUAUGUAAAAUAACCAUAGGACAACCAUGCUCACACCAAGCUCUAAGAAACAUAUUGUUCUCAGAACGUUAUGUGCUAGCUGGGGUGUAACUAAGAAUAUUUUUGAAAGGUGACAUAAACUGUGAUAUGUGUCAGUCAUUCACAUAGCAGCAGAUUUCUGGCUAACCAAAAGAGUCAGAAAAUAGUUAUGCAGUGCUGAAGCAGGUAGGUAGUGACCUCAAGGUUGGGGGGAUUAUGGGAACACCGGAGGGCAGAGAGAGACAAGGGAGGUGACGCCGGGGGCUAUUUUUCUAUUCAUUUCUCUUUCCCUCUCUCCCUCUCCCUCCAUCAUGCCUGUGGCCUCAAAAGAGAGGUCAGGGAUAUGGUCAGGGUUGGCGUCAGUGCUUUUUCUGCCUGAGAGCACCAUGAAAGGGGCACCCCAUCAAACAGCAGAUGAACUACUCCAUAAUAUGUGUGUGUGCCUGUAUUAUUGUGUAAGCGUGUGUGUGUGUAUGUGUGUUUGUUAUUCACAUUCUCCUACAUUUUGGCCUUCCUCUCCUUAUUUACACAUUCAUGAAUACACAUCAAUGUGUUUCUGCGUUUGAACUCCCUCCACCUCUGUUUGACUUUGGCUCUGAUGUUGGCAGUUGUGAGCGUGCUCAGUUUGUUUCACGCUGCCACGCACUACCUCCCCUUCAUAGCGGCAGUGCUCUGGGCUCCUCUCAGAAAGGUUCUGGUUCUGGAACACUGACAUACAAUAUUGAUCUGUCCAUCCCAUCCUUCCAAUUCCAUGUCAAACAAUCACAUAGACCUCUGAGGUCCUCCAUAAUCUUUUCCAGAGUUCGGUUGGGUUUUUUCUUUGCUGUCUGUACUGUAAUUGUCAUUAGUUCAGCUUGAUUUGUUGUUUGGUUCUUUUUCUUUCAGUUGUGGGUAAUACAUAUUUUAUGUUUCGAACUCUCUUUAGUGUGUUAUAAUCUUGCCUAACUGUGGCAUGUCUUUGCCUUUUCUGCACUUUUUCAGGUGUACGAUUCAAAAUAUAUAUAUAUUUUAAAUCAUUGAAGCCCACACAUUGUCUUUUGAAAAACUCUUAUGUCAGAGAGAAGAGAAGAAGUUAAAGGGAGCGAGAGAGAAAGAGAGAGAGGGAUGGAGAGAGAGGGAUGGAGAUAGGGAUGGAGAGAGGGAAAGAGAGAGAGGGAUGGAGAGAGGGAAAGAGGAAGGGAGAAGGGGGUGAGGUAAGGACAGGGGUUUAUCAUUAGCAUAUCUAAGGAGAAGGUAGAAGAAAGGGAUGGAACGUCCUAUUUUGCUCUUUGACAGAUAACAGUCUAAAGCCCUGUCUUGUUUCCAAGCAAUAACAAAUAUAUAUCCCUCCCUUCUUCUUUCGUCCCCGCUCUUGUUUUCCUAGGAGAAAUAUGCUUACUCCUGGCGAACAGGGGAAGUCAUAUUGUCCCGUGAGGAGCCGUGAAGAGCUCUUUGAUACAUUGAGAUUAUUACAGGGCUCUGUCAGAUUUUCCUGCUGGCCUGUGUGUGUGUGUGUGUGUGUGUGUGUGUGUGUGUGUGUGUGUGCCCAUGCAUAAGAGACAUAAGCAGUCGCUAGGGGGCCCCGACCAGGAACUCAGUCGGGGUCUCAAUGUAAUAUUGAGAGUAAGAAUAGCAGAAUAUAGAAGGAGCCAUUUCAAAAUUUGGUUGUGCAUCAGCAGGUUUUCUAUUGUUGUCAGUCACUGACAGUCACUCAAUGAGCUAUGUGAGCUAAUGAUUUGUAGAUGGUAAGAUAGUCUAGCCAGCUAUCUAAACUUGUAGUAAUCAUGACCGAAUACUCACCUGGGUAUGCAGUGUACGUGCCCAGGGGCCCUGACCUCCAGGGGCCCCCAUUGAUUUUGUUAGUCACUCUCAUUCACAUAUUAUAUUAACAUGGCAUAAGUCAUGGCAAAAUGUGUUGAAUUGCAGGAAAUGAGCUUUAAAACUGCAAACAUUUCUCUCCACCCCAUGGCAAAAUGUGUAGAAUUGUAGGAAACUUGCUUUAAUAAAAACUGUGCCAUUUUCUCUAUGCACCAUAGCAACAUUUGUAGAAUUGCAGGAAUUCUACAUUAAAACGUAAAUGUUUCUCUCUGCCGUCAAGAGGUGGGCCACUAAAAUGCAUGUCAUUCAAUUGUUGGAGACUUCCUCGUCGUCAGUCAUUCUGGAUGGACUGAGUGUGGAAAGCUAAAAGAAAUGCUAAUUAGAUUUUGGAGGUCCGACUCUUCCGAGUUUUUGGCAGUCUCAGAGAGUUUGCUUCGAUCGUCACCACGUGAAGUGAUUAUGCUGCAAAUGGCCCUUUUGUUAUCUUGGGGAGGCAGUCAGUUGUAAAUAGCUGCAGAGUUAUCUGAGCAGCACAGUCAGUCGGAGAGGAAACGAGUAAUUGGAUAAUUAAUUUAGUCUUGGACAGGUCAAACGGGUUUUCCUCAUCUGCUUUUCCUUUCCGGCACUCGCUCUGUGGCAAGGUCUCCAGGACACGUGAUUAAUGUGUGUGUGUGUGUGUGUGUGUGUGUGUGUGUAUGUGUGUGUGUUGGCUGUGUGUGAUUGAUAUGUGCCAUGGACGGAUAAUUACAGCGCAUUCAUCUCCCCUCUCCCUCUCUCCCUCACCCUCUCUCCCUUUCACCCUCUAGACAUGCAGGAUGGGUAAUGAUGAUGACAUGAGAGGUUGUUUCAAAUGACAUGUUGUUGUUUCACCAUAUUUAAAGGGAUAGUUUACUCAGAAUACAAACUAAUAUGAUUUUCAACCUACCUUGGCUGCAGUUGAUUCAAUAAGGCAGUUUUGGGAUUUUAGUUUCCUUUCAACACUUGAUAGCCAUAUUUGGUUACUGUUAGCAAUCUCAGUAACACUUAACAUUAAACUGUUCUUGUGCCUGUGUAAUAAUCUGUAAUUACUUUUGGAGCAACAUUUUAUUAGCAUGUUGUUACAUUUCAUUUCAAUUGCAUAGCAAUGAGCUGAGAGUUUUUGUAACUACUGAACACAAGAGGAAUAGUGACUGUUCCUUAUUCCACUUCUGUCGUAACUCCAUUAUUAUGCAAUUAUAAAGCAAUUUCCAAAAUCCUAUGUAAUAACAAUGUGCUAUUGUAAUAAUCACACGGUUAGUAUGUCAUGAUAAAAUGAAAUCAAAUGAAAAUGUUGCUCUUACUUUUUUUUCACAUAUAAGUUUUGUUUUGGAGCGUCACUGGGUGGAUUCAUAGGAGCAUUGCCGAUAAUCACUGGAGUGUAACAAUGGGAGGAACCAGAACAACUCACAGCCCGAUUGCCUUGCAGAAGCAGCAUGGGGGAAGAACCGCGUGGGGCAUUGAUGAGGAAGGAACUCAGACGAACAGUGAAGUAAGGGAAGUGCAUCGUUUUGAACUAUUUUCCACUGGACUGGGUGAUUUUAAAGAAUGGAUUUUGGACUUUAAGGAGUAGACUGGUUUAUUGUAAAUAUAUAUAUUCAAAGACAAUUAUGUGGCAUUGUACUGCUCAAUAUUUCUUUGUGCCUCAGGCCUAACCCAGAGGUGGUGAAUCUGGAGUGGACAGAGCAGAAGGAAUACCAUGAAAGGACUUCCCCACCUCUUAAAAUUCAACUUUAGCCAAUUAGCCUGGUCUGUCAGAACCUUGACCUCGUCUGUAGAGAGGGCCCCAGACAGACAGACAGCGCUAAACAGCACCCCCGCUGGCCUGGAAGGUCCACAGCACCCAGAACAGCCUUCACAGCUUUCACAGCCCAGGGCCAAUAUCCAUUGCAUCUCAGUUUUGCAAUUUAGAUAAUAAUAAAUAAGAUUAUAUGGAUAGGGGGGGACCUGAUCCUAGAUCAGCACUCCUAUGCUGAGAGGCUUUGUGAACACAGGCACAGAGUAGCCUUCACAGACUCACAGACAGGGAUCUUUACAGGCAGCUGGAAUAUGGAUCACAUGAACAAUUAAUUCAAUCAGAGACGCCUGCCAGAUUCCUUCCGUUAGAUUAAAAAUAGAAAUAUAAUAUCCCUUCCUCAUGCAAUGUAAAUUCAAAUUAAUUAAAACUGUAUAUCAUU